rnacentral:rRNA from 1 species
GACGUAGGGGCGCAAGCGUUGUCCGGAUUUAUUGGGCGUAAAGGAGCGUGUAGGCGGCCAAACAGGUCCACUGUGAAAACUCGAGGCUCAACCCUCGAGAGGUCGGUGGAAACCGUAUGGCUAGAGUCCGGAAGAGGAGAGUGGAAUUCCCGGUGUAGCGGUGAAAUGCGUAGAUAUCGUAAGGAAGACCAGUGGCGAAGGCGGGUCUCUGGACAGUUCCUGACGCUGAGGCACGAAGGCCAGGGGAGCAAACGGG